AGCGAACGCUGGCGGCAGGCCUAACACAUGCAAGUCGAACGAACUCUUCGGAGUUAGUGGCGGACGGGUGAGUAACACGUGGGAACGUGCCUUUUGGUUCGGAAUAACUCAGGGAAACUUGUGCUAAUACCGAAUGUGCCCUUCGGGGGAAAGAUUUAUCGCCAUUAGAGCGGCCCGCGUCUGAUUAGCUAGUUGGUGAGGUAACGGCUCACCAAGGCGACGAUCAGUAGCUGGUCUGAGAGGAUGACCAGCCACACUGGGACUGAGACACGGCCCAGACUCCUACGGGAGGCAGCAGUGGGGAAUCUUGCGCAAUGGGCGAAAACCUGAUGCAGCCAUGCCGCGUGAAUGAUGAAGGCCUUAGGAUUGUAAAAUUCUUUCACCGGGGACGAUAAUGACGGUACCCGGAGAAGAAGCCCCGGCUAACUUCGUG
rnacentral:rRNA from 1 species